rnacentral:rRNA from 1 species
UAAGGAAUAUUGCUCAAUGGGAGAAAUCCUGAAGCAGCAACGCCGCGUGGAGGAUGAAGGGUCUAUGACUUGUAAACUCCUGUAAAGAAGGAAAAAAUUCCCAUUUGAUGGGAGAUGAUGGUACUUCUGGAGUAAGCCCCGGCUAACUACGUGCCAGCAGCCGCGGUAAUACGUAGGGGGCAAGCGUUGUCCGGAUUUACUGGGUGUAAAGGGUGCUCAGGCGGAUUUGUAAGUCAGAGGUGAAAUCUUACAGCUUAACUGUGAAACUGCCUUUGAUACUGCAAGCCUAGAGUAUGGAAGAGAGAGAUGGAAUAUCUGGUGUGGCAGUGAAAUGCGUAGAUAUCAGAUAGAACACCAAUGGCGAAGGCAGUCACUUGGUCCAUUACUGACGCUAAAGCACGAAAGCGUGGGUAGCAAACA